CCGAGUUGUAAUUUGUAGAGGAUGCUUUGGGCGCGGCGCCUUCCGAGUUCCCUGGAACGGGACGCCAGAGAGGGUGAGAGCCCCGUACGGUUGGACGCCUAGCCUAUGUAUAGCUCCUUCGACGAGUCGAGUAGUUUGGGAAUGCUGCUCUAAAUGGGAGGUAAAUUUCUUCUAAAGCUAAAUACCGGCCAGAGACCGAUAGCGCACAAGUAGAGUGAUCGAAAGAUGAAAAGCACUUUGAAAAGAGGGUUAAAUAGCACGUGAAAUUGUUGAAAGGGAAGCGUUUGCGACCAGACCUUCUCCGGGGGGAUCAUCCGGUGUUCUCACCGGUGCACUCCCCUCGGUCUAGGCCAGCAUCGGUUUCCUUAGGGGGAUAA
rnacentral:rRNA from 1 species